rnacentral:rRNA from 1 species
UACGUAGGUGGCAAGCGUUGUCCGGAAUUAUUGGGCGUAAAGCGCGCGCAGGCGGUCCUUUAAGUCUGAUGUGAAAGCCCAUGGCUCAACCGUGGAGGGUCAUUGGAAACUGGGGGACUUGAGUACAGAAGAGGAAAGCGGAAUUCCACGUGUAGCGGUGAAAUGCGUAGAGAUGUGGAGGAACACCAGUGGCGAAGGCGGCUUUCUGGUCUGUAACUGACGCUGAGGCGCGAAAGCGUGGGGAGCAAACAGG